UGGCGGCCAGCUCAACCAUUUCUUGGGCAUAGAAAUUGAGCGCGAAGGGGAGACUGGAAGAAUAACAAUCGGCCACAAGCAGUAUGUGGAACAAAUGCUACAUACUUGGGGCAUGUCAACGUGUAGGCCUGAAGCUACACCACUGGAUGCAGGUCACCAAGUCAAAUGUGAUGACGUUAACUGCGAGAUGGUUAAUGAAAAGAGCUACCAAUCAUUGAUAGGUUCUUUGAUGUAUUUAAAAGGCACGGCUAAUAUGAGACUUCAUUAUCAGGAUACUGGCAAGCAGAUCUAUGGAUACGUCGACGCAGACUGGGCGAACGAUGCUGCAGAUCGCAAAUCAUAUUGUGGAUAUGUCUUUAUUGGUGCAGGCAGCGCGAUUUCGUGGGAAUCGAAGAAACAAAGUCUGGUGGCGUUAAGCAGCACUGAAGCCGAAUAUAUUGCCUUAUCAACCGCAGCAAGGGAAGCAACAUAUAUUAAAAAAUUGUUGCAUGAAAUGGAAUUUAUAGAAACCAAGCCUAUUUUAUUGUAUUGCGAUAAUCAAAGCGCACAGUGCUUAGCUAAAAAUCCAAUUUUACAUAAACGUAGUAAGCACAUCGACAUAGAGUUUCACCAUGUACACGAGCUAUAUUCUAAGAACGAAAUAGAUGUUAAAUAUAUAGGUACUAAUGAUA